CCUACGGGGGGCUGCAGUGGGGAAUAUUGGGCAAUGGGCGCAAGCCUGACCCAGCAAAGCCGCGUGAAGGAAGAAGGCUUUCGGGUUGUAAACUUCUUUUCUCAGGGACGAAACAAGUGACGGUACCUGAGGAAUAAGCCACGGCUAACUACGUGCCAGCAGCCGCGGGAAUACGGAGGUGGCAAGCGUUAUCCGGAUUUACUGGGUGUAAAGGGCGUGUAGGCGGGGAAGCAAGGCAGAUGUGAAAACCACGGGCUCAACCUGUGGCCUGCAUUUGAAACUGUGUUUCUUGAGUACUGGAGAGGCAGACGGAAUGCGCAGUGUAGCGGUGAAAUGCGUAGAUAUUAGGAGGAACACCAGUGGCGAAGGCGGUCUGCCGGACAGCAACUGACGCUGAGGCGCGAAAGCGUGGGGAGCAAACAGGAUUAGAUACCCGGGUAGUC
rnacentral:rRNA from 1 species